rnacentral:rRNA from 1 species
CCUACGGGAGGCAGCAGUGAGGAAUAUUGCGCAAUGGACGAAAGUCUGACGCAGCGACGCCGCGUGGAGGAUGAAGGUUUUAGGAUCGUAAACUCCUGUUAAGUGGGAAGAAAACUUGAGCUCUAACAUAGCUCAAGUCUGACGGUACCACUAGAGAAAGCACCGGCUAACUUCGUGCCAGCAGCCGCGGUAAUACGAGGGGUGCAAACGUUAUUCGGAUUAACUGGGCGUAAAGGGUGUGUAGACGGUAUAUUAAGUUCGUUGUUAAAUCUUCCGGCCUAACCGGAAGCUCGCGAUGGAAACUGAUAUGCUUGAGGAUGGAAGAGAGAAGCGGAAUUCUCGGAGUAGCGGUAAAAUGCGUAGAUCUCGAGAGGAACACCGAUGGCGAAGCCAGCUUCUUGGUCCACUCCUGACGUUGAGACACGAAAGCAUGGGUAGCAAACAGGAUUAGAUACCCUGGUAGUCCAUGCUGUAAACGAUGAUCACUGGAUGUCAGCUUCGCUUUGCGAAGUUGGUAUCGAAGCUAACGCGUUAAGUGAUCCGCCUGGGAAGUACGGUCGCAAGAUUAAAACUCAAAGGAAUUGACGGGG